AAAACGACUCUCGGCAACGGAUAUCUCGGCUCUCGCAUCGAUGAAGAACGUAGCGAAAUGCGAUACUUGGUGUGAAUUGCAGAAUCCCAUGAACCAUCGAGUCUUUGAACGCAAGUUGCGCCCCAAGCCGUUAGGCCGAGGGCACGCCUGCCUGGGUGUCAC
rnacentral:rRNA from 1 species